CACUAAUAGGAGGGAUUUGAAUAGACCACGCCUUCAACGAAGGAGGAGUCCACUACAUAUUGAAUUUAUCGAUCGAUUGUUAGGCCCAUUUCGAUCGCUACUGUACAGUCAAUGGCGGCAUUGGACCUUGGAUGCAUGUGCGACUUGAUGUGGCUUUGCAUGUGGGAGGCCCCAUUGUAAUGUUCGCAGACUGGUCAUUUGGUGAUACGUGUGAACAGUGGUAGUGCUUGGGUGCCUCAAGAGGGAAUCGCAGAACAUAGCCAUAGAGUAGUAUGUCCUUCGACAAUCUGUUAUGCAUAGAGCAGAUGCAGAGAUAUUUCAAAAGGGUUUCGCUGUUUUCAGUUCACAAUCGUAAUGGAUUCGAAGAGGAUAUUGAUGGAGUUUUGGUAUACAAAAAGUAUAAGUACAUGUUCCUUGGAAGGGUAACCGACGAGUUCCGAAUCCUUAUACUAUCGUACAUGUUAUGUGCGUGUAAAACUAAAGUCUAAAAGAAGAAGAAUGAUUCAAAAAUUGCGGUAGAGAAUCAUCAAAGAAUUAUACUCGUUUAGUUGUUUUUACUGUGCAUGGGAAUUUUUUGGUCGAGCGUAAUGGGUGUCUUAAAGGCACUGAAGGUUGCAUUAGAUCCCCAACAAAAAGGGAACGCUGAAAAUCCCAGGGGGCGAUGGUAAUUAGUGGCAAUGUUACUGUGUAGGUAACUUCAGAAAGUGUGACGCUAGCUGAUGUAAACCGCACCAGCUGUGCUAUUACCUAGUCCGUCUCAUUUUGCCGCCUAGGUUGUGAAAGUAGCAGAAGAAGAGGAAAUAGCAGUAAACUGGUUUUGAAAGAAGCCAAACAUUCCGAUGAUAUGGGAGCUCAGCCUGUGGAAACAAAAACCCUAUGUUUCAGAUAGAAAGACGAAAUGAACACAGCGUUCCUCAGCUACAUCUGAGGACUACUGUCACCGAAAGAAAAUCACCUCGCUUAUAGACUCGGAAGGUAAAAGCGAGACCCAAAAAUUUGCAACAACGAAGCAAUUACAGACGACCAUUUGUAAAUGCGUCACAACAUGCCCAUAAAAAUUCUACGGAGUUAGUUAUUUCUCCUCUAGAUGUCUUGAAAAUAUACGGGAAAUGUCAGGCUGUCAGCUGACCCGUCGGCUGUUCCAUUUCGCGUGGCUUCGGGCUGAGGAUGGCUGCUGAAACGAACGUCUCUCUUUUUGAAAUUUUACCAGCGAUUCCGUGUGUUUUCAGUUGCAUCUUGUGAAUUCCAUCAAUGCAGAGUUGUUCAAGGAGAAACAUGGCUUGGCUUUGCUAUCACGUUUUUCAUCUCCGUUAGUUUGAUAUGCCCAUUUUGUUUCAAAGGUCUUUGGGAUGUACCUGAUGUACUGUGGUGGCUGCAAAAUCAUUCAAUGACUUGGUUCAAUCUAGGUCUUGGUUUUUUUCAAUAGUGGUUUACAGUUAAAAUUUGCAGAGAUCCUGGAGGCACCUGAUGUGUUUCGUUGGCGUUGGAGUCACUCGGUGGCAGAAGAGAAUGCCACUAAUGUUAUGUUGUCAGUGUAAAUAAAACAUAUCCAGUAUCA